rnacentral:rRNA from 1 species
GGGGAAUCUUGCACAAUGGGGGCAACCCUGAUGCAGCGACGCCGCGUGAGCGAUGAAGCCCUUCGGGGUGUAAAGCUCUUUCGGCUGGAACGAUGAUGACGGUACCAGCAGAAGAAGCUGCGGCUAACUACGUGCCAGCAGCCGCGGUAAUACGUAGGCAGCGAGCGUUGUUCGGAGUUACCGGGCGUAAAGAGUGCGUAGGCGGUUGGCUAAGUUUGGUGUGAAAUCUCCCGGCUCAACUGGGAGGGUGCGCCGAAAACUGGCUGGCUGGAGUAUGGGAGAGGCAAGCGGAAUUCCUGGUGUAGCGGUGAAAUGCGUAGAUAUCAGGAGGAACACCUGCGGUGUAGACGGCUUGCUGGACCAUGACUGACGCUGAGGCACGAAAGCGUGGGGAGCAAAC